rnacentral:misc_RNA from 1 species
AAGUCGUAACAAGGUUUCCGUAGGUGAACCUGCGGAAGGAUCAUUAACACGUAUCCAACGUUAAAACCCCCCCCGUGAACUUUCAAUCCUGCUCUUGUAACCCGCGUAGCCCGGAAAGUUGUUUUGAUUCAGAGAGCUACGUGAGAACAUUGGAACAGUUACAAUUCGAGCGGUAGUUUCAUAGGCAUUGUUUCCCCAAGCAGUCAGUGUCGGAAAGUGUCACUGAUUGUGCAAGGAUAGCGCUUCACGAUUCCUGUAGACCGUACACUCGGGCAGGAGCUAUGCCAAAGGGUCCCCAUGCCCCCUUAUAACCCCACAGUUUAAUGUAAAGCUCAAUGUAAUACAUUGGGUAAAAAAACCGAACAACUGUUAACAAUGGAUAUCUUGGUUCUC